rnacentral:rRNA from 1 species
UUCCUACGGGCGGCUGCAGGCGCGAAAACUUUACAAUGCGGGAAACCGUGAUAAGGGGACACCGAGUGUCAGCAUCAUAUGCUGGCUGUCCAGGUGUGUAAAAUACACCUGUUAGCAAGGGCCGGGCAAGACCGGUGCCAGCCGCCGCGGUAACACCGGCGGCCCGAGUGGUGAUCGUGAUUAUUGGGUCUAAAGGGUCCGUAGCCGGUUUGGUCAGUCCUCCGGGAAAUCUGAUAGCUCAACUAUUAGGCUAUCGGGGGAGACUGCCAGACUUGGAACCGGGAGAGGUAAGAGGUACUACAGGGGUAGGAGUGAAAUCUUGUAAUCCCUGUGGGACCACCUGUGGCGAAGGCGUCUUACCAGAACGGGUUCGACGGUGAGGGACGAAAGCUGGGGGCACGAACCGGAUUAGAUACCCUAGUAGUC